UCCCUCUCAAAAAUAAAUAAACAUUAAACAAGGUAUUUACUCAAUUCUUAAACAAUAACACCUGCUCAAGGAGCCUCCUGACACUUGACAGAUAUUUCCAAUACAAUGGCAUCAUUGCUUGACUCUGUCAGUUUAGGGGAAAUCAUCUGCUGCAGUAACAAAUGAUCCCCCAAAUUUUAGUGGCUUACAACAAAGUUUACUUCUCCCUCGCCUGACUUGAUCUUCACAGAUCGGCUGAAAUUCUGCUCCAUGUCCUUUUCGUUAUGGGACCAAGCUAGUGGGAGCAGCCUCAAUCUAGAAUACUCCAAUCUCGUGAUAUAGGGAAGAGAGAGAGUGGAAAUACACAAUAGCUCUUCAAAGCUUCUGUUGGUAGCGGGGCAGGUCCCCUGCGCUCCCAUUUCAUUGGCCAAAGCGAGUCACAUGGCCAGGCGUGACAUCAUCAGCAAGGCAACCCUGGGCAGUUAGCAGUUAGCAGUUGGCAGUUAACAGUUGAGAGGGAAGAAACACACUCCUCCCUAGCGCCCUAGCAGAGUUAGGCACUAGGGCCAGACAGCUGGCGGAAGGGCACUGACGUUUUAGAGCUCCUCUUCAUUCUCUUUAUUGACACAUUUUAAUUAAGCCCACGGUUGUUUCUCUUUUUUUAAAUUUUUUCUGCCCCGUCUUUAGAGACCUUUUGCCAGAGCUGAUAUAGUGAAAAGGAGGUAUUAGAAUUAGUGUUGCUGUUCUAUACAACUGGAGGCCUCCAUGAAACGUUCAAGCAACGUGGAAGGCUGUUUCCUGGCAACCCUACGUGGUCCAUAGCUGUUGCUAUAAAUUGGGGGUACGUUUCUAGAAAAGCCAUUGGGCUGAAGCCUGGGUUUCAGUCCUGACCUGCUACUGACGAGUUGUGUGAUUUUGAGGAGUCAACCUGGCCUCUUGGAGCUUUAGUUCAUCUGCAAAACAAGGGUGGUUGUGAAAAAAGGAAAUUGUAAACCGGGAAACACUUUCCAAACGUUCAGCCUUUGUGAAACUGUGAUGGAGAUGUCAUAAGAAUCGGGCGGUUUUGUGUGUGUGUGUGGGGGGGGGGGUUUGUUUUUGUUUUUGUUUUUGUUUUCCAUUGUGGUGGGAAGCUGGUGCACAGAAUAAGAAAGGGUACUACAGCAGCUGAGAUGCGCUGAAGCUGGUAAUUAUCUGCUAGACGGGCUGAGUUUUGAUUGUAAGUGUGCCUGGCAAACCUAUCAAUGAGCCAUGUGCCUUGAUGAAACGCUGACAGUCUAUUUACACAGAGGCAGCUGGGAUAUUAUAAAAGAAUGAAGGCAUGCUGGAAGUCUAAGUCAUUAUGAAGGGUAGGACUUCAUUUAUCUGUGCGACUGAUGGCUCCAGGAUGGUAAAAAUGUGGUAUCACGUGAACAAAACAGCUCUUGAAUUUUAAUAAUAAUCCAGUGUCUUAGAGAUGAAGGCUUAGCAAUGAUUGAAUCCAACCCGUUGUCUGUAGAGAUGAGGAAACAGAGACUCCCAGAAGUUAAUAAACGAGCUUUUAUCACACUUA